rnacentral:rRNA from 1 species
GUAGGGUGCGAGCGUUAAUCGGAAUUACUGGGCGUAAAGCGUGCGCAGGCGGUUUGCUAAGACCGAUGUGAAAUCCCCGGGCUCAACCUGGGAACUGCAUUGGUGACUGGCAGGCUAGAGUAUGGCAGAGGGGGGUAGAAUUCCACGUGUAGCAGUGAAAUGCGUAGAGAUGUGGAGGAAUACUGAUGGCGAAGGCAGCCCCCUGGGCCAAUACUGACGCUCAUGCACGAAAGCGUGGGGAGCAAACAGGAUUAGAUACCCUGGUAGUCCACGCCCUAAACGAUGUCAACUAGUUGUUGGGGAUUCAUUUCCUUAGUAACGUAGCUAACGCGUGAAGU